rnacentral:rRNA from 2 species
UGCAAGUCGAACGAACUCUGGUAUUGAUUGGUGCUUGCAUCAUGAUUUACAUUUGAGUGAGUGGCGAACUGGUGAGUAACACGUGGGAAACCUGCCCAGAAGCGGGGGAUAACACCUGGAAACAGAUGCUAAUACCGCAUAACAACUUGGACCGCAUGGUCCGAGUUUGAAAGAUGGCUUCGGCUAUCACUUUUGGAUGGUCCCGCGGCGUAUUAGCUAGAUGGUGGGGUAACGGCUCACCAUGGCAAUGAUACGUAGCCGACCUGAGAGGGUAAUCGGCCACAUUGGGACUGAGACACGGCCCAAACUCCUACGGGAGGCAGCAGUAGGGAAUCUUCCACAAUGGACGAAAGUCUGAUGGAGCAACGCCGCGUGAGUGAAGAAGGGUUUCGGCUCGUAAAACUCUGUUGUUAAAGAAGAACAUAUCUGAGAGUAACUGUUCAGGUAUUGACGGUAUUUAACCAGAAAGCCACGGCUAACUACGUGCCAGCAGCCGCGGUAAUACGUAGGUGGCAAGCGUUGUCCGGAUUUAUUGGGCGUAAAGCGAGCGCAGGCGGUUUUUUAAGUCUGAUGUGAAAGCCUUCGGCUCAACCGAAGAAGUGCAUCGGAAACUGGGAAACUUGAGUGCAGAAGAGGACAGUGGAACUCCAUGUGUAGCGGUGAAAUGCGUAGAUAUAUGGAAGAACACCAGUGGCGAAGGCGGCUGUCUGGUCUGUAACUGACGCUGAGGCUCGAAAGUAUGGGUAGCAAACAGGAUUAGAUACCCUGGUAGUCCAUACCGUAAACGAUGAAUGCUAAGUGUUGGAGGGUUUCCGCCCUUCAGUGCUGCAGCUAACGCAUUAAGCAUUCCGCCUGGGGAGUACGGCCGCAAGGCUGAAACUCAAAGGAAUUGACGGGGGCCCGCACAAGCGGUGGAGCAUGUGGUUUAAUUCGAAGCUACGCGAAGAACCUUACCAGGUCUUGACAUACUAUGCAAAUCUAAGAGAUUAGACGUUCCCUUCGGGGACAUGGAUACAGGUGGUGCAUGGUUGUCGUCAGCUCGUGUCGUGAGAUGUUGGGUUAAGUCCCGCAACGAGCGCAACCCUUAUUAUCAGUUGCCAGCAUUAAGUUGGGCACUCUGGUGAGACUGCCGGUGACAAACCGGAGGAAGGUGGGGAUGACGUCAAAUCAUCAUGCCCCUUAUGACCUGGGCUACACACGUGCUACAAUGGAUGGUACAACGAGUUGCGAACUCGCGAGAGUAAGCUAAUCUCUUAAAGCCAUUCUCAGUUCGGAUUGUAGGCUGCAACUCGCCUACAUGAAGUCGGAAUCGCUAGUAAUCGCGGAUCAGCAUGCCGCGGUGAAUACGUUCCCGGGCCUUGUACACACCGCCCGUCACACCAUGAGAGUUUGUAACACCCAAAGUCGGUGGGGUAACCUUUUAGGAACCAGCCGCCUAAGGUGGGACAGAUGAUUAGGGUGAAGUCGUAACAAGGUAGCCGUAGGAGAACCUGCGGCUGGAUCACCUCCU